AAAAAAAACAAAUUUGAAAAAAAAAUUAUAAAAAGUUAGAAUUUGAAAAAGUAUAAUUCGAAAACACCAAAAAAAUUAUUUUUUAUUUAUUUAAAUAAUUAUUUAUUAUAUAUAUAUAGAGAGAACAAAUGUAUAAUAGUCUUUUGCCACUUAAUGAAGAAUAUAUUUUUGAAAAUAUCUCUUUAGUGAUGGUAAAAAUGAAUAAUGGUAUUAUGAAAGUGGUCAACAAGAAAUUCUCUCAUAUAUAUUAGAAAUAUAUUCAUUAGAAAUAAAUAUAUUGUAUACUAAUUUUUAUAAUAAUUUUAAAUAGUAUAUUCAUAUUGCUCUACCAAUCAUUCUAUUAAACAGUUCAACAAAAAUAUACAGUUUCUGCUUUAUCAUCUGCCAAUCAAAACCUUAAAUGACCAAAUAUUUUUGAAGCCCAUAUAAGACUCAUUUAAAUAGAUCCAAGUGGAAGUCCAUAAGUUUGUGUUAUUUCUUUCCAAUACCAUCAUUUUAACACAAAUAAUUAGACAUAACAAAACAAAUAAUGACUUCGUAUUGGCGAAAUAUUAUUAAAAUAUGAUUUUUCUGUCAUAAAUCAAACAGUCAUACAAGCUUUUGAGAGUUUAGAGGCAACUGAUUGGGUUGGUUCAGCGGUUAGUUUCGGCGUCUUGGUGAGUAAUAGCAGCUCUAAUAUUCACUCGAGCUCUUGAAAGCAAUUGGUCUGUUGUUUUUUCCAAUCCAAGUUUAAAAAAAUAAAGAUAUUGAGUUUUCAAAUGUUUUAGGCUUUCCUCAUGAGUUAUGUGUCUCGUAGAUUGGAUGCGUCAGUAAGAUACACCAUCAUAAGUAUAAGCGUUUUCCGAUGAGUUUAAACAGUUUUGAUGCUCGUACGAUUUGUGAGGUACUCAUAUCACUUUCUAUCAGUUAAUUUACCUAUUGUCCUACCUCUAUGUGUGAAACUUUGGCUAAUACUGUACUUGUUGGCUUAUAGGCGUCUUGUAUGAGAUUUUAACGGAAAAGAUCUUAUUAAGGUAUGUACCAAGAGAUAUACUACGGGGUCGACAGCCACGUUAGAGUAUCAGAUUGGUCAAUACCGCAUAAACAUACCGUAUGUUGAUGAUGAUAACACAGAAAUGCAGUGAAGAAAGCUAAUAAUAUCAAAGAGAACAUAAAAGGAAAACCUCUUCCUCAGACAAAAACUUACAUCAAACAAGAGAAAUUACUACAUUGCCACUUGUUACUACA